GGAAUAUUGCACAAUGGGGGAAACCCUGAUGCAGCGACGCCGCGUGAGUGAUGAAGUAUUUCGGUAUGUAAAGCUCUAUCAGCAGGGAAGAAAAUGACGGUACCUGAGUAAGAAGCCCCGGCUAACUACGUGCCAGCAGCCGCGGUAAUACGUAGGGGGCAAGCGUUAUCCGGAUUUACUGGGUGUAAAGGGAGCGUAGACGGCAUAGCAAGUCUGAAGUGAAAGCCCAAGGCUCAACCAUGGGACUGCUUUGGAAACUGUUAAGCUAGAGUGCUGGAGAGGUAAGCGGAAUUCCUAGUGUAGCGGUGAAAUGCGUAGAUAUUAGGAGGAACACCAGUGGCGAAGGCGGCUUACUGGACGGAAACUGACGUUGAGGCUCGAAAGCGUGGGGAGCAAACA
rnacentral:rRNA from 1 species